rnacentral:lncRNA from 1 species
UGGAGUAGAGAGUGAGGGAGGACUUACAGCAAAGGAUCAUGGGAGUCCAACCAGCAACUGCUGCAACAAGGACUCCACCUUCUGAACACCUGAACCUCUAAUCCAAACCAGUGCUCCAUCACAUUUGAUGUCUUGUCUGUUAUUUUACAUGGAGGGUCAGAGCAGACCAGAUAAUGAGCUCUGACAGACUGGAUCUGGUCCAAAGGUCUCCUGUUGGAGUUCUCUAAGCUCCAUAUUUUAAACCUGAACACGUGAAGUUUGAUUAUUAAUUAUUUUUAUCUUCAUUCUCUUUCCUUUUUUCAGACUGAGGAGCUGCAGUUUGUCAGAGAUCAGCUGUUCUUCUCUGGCCUCAGCUCUGAAGUCCAACCCCGACCAUCUGAAACAUCUGGACCUGAGCAGAAACAAUCUGCAGGAUUCAGGAGUGAAGCUGCUGUGUGACUCUCUGCAGAGUCCAAACUGUAAACUGGAGACUCUAGAGUGAGACUUUUUUCCUCCAUUCAAACAUGAUCAUGAUUUGUUUGUGAUGAUGACACUAAACUGCUGACUCAGGACUGAAACACUGACCCAGACUGAACACCUUCAGUCCAGAGUAGAUUUUCUGCUUCAGUGGAUUAUUUGAUUGACUCCAGUUAGAUCACUGCUGAGCUCCAGUGAAUUAAAACCUGAACCCAAGAAGAAAACUCUUUGUAGAGUUCACAGUGAGAAGCACAUUCAGACAGAAAACAGAAGCAGGGGGAGAUUUGUCAGACGAGAACCAUUCAAACUUUAGUUCAGGACAAGAAAUGGAAAAAACUCAGAGUUUAGUUUCUGACUCUGAUGAAAGUCCAGCUCUGUUACUUUGAAUUUUGUUUUUGAAUCUUUGUGUGAAAAUCUGAAUUUUCUGGUUUAUCUGCACUUUUCUGAAGCCUUGCUGUGUUUAGACUGAAAUAUUUACCUCUCAAAGACGUGAUAUUUUUGGUUCAGCAAAGUGAAAAUAUUCUGAACAUCCUUUGUUUCCCAUCCGUCCUGAAGUCGCUGACAUUUUCUGAAAAUAUUGAGCUGCAUCUACAAUCAGUAAAAAAGUCUCUGAGUUUUUUAUUUCACUAUUUAAUGUGUUUUUGAAUUCAGUGUUUCAAACUGACUUCCUGUUUGGUUCAGCUCUUUGGAGCGUCACUUUUCUUUGAUUCAUACUUUCCAAACCUUUCCCCUGAACUCUACAGAUUUAAGACAUCAGGUUUCAAACUGGAUCAUUUUUCUCUAAAAUCUCAUUAUUUCCUCUUUAUUUAGGUUGUGGCGCUGCAGUUUGACGAAGAUCAGCUGUUCUUCUCUGGCCUCAGCUCUGAAGUCCAACCCCUCCCAUCUGAAAACUCUGUGGCUGUAUGGAAACAAUCUGCAGGGUUCAGACGUGGAGCUGCUGUGUGAUCUUCAGAAGAGUCCAGACUACAGACUGGAGGAUCUGGAGUCAGUAUAGAGUUGGAGUUAGUCUGUGCUGAUCUCUCCUGUUCCUCUCCACACAGUAUCACAGCAGAUAUUCAGUAUUUCCUGCUGACUCUUCGACCCUCUCAGAGGAUUAUCUCUUUAGUGAAGCUGUGAGAACAGAAAUCAUCAAACCAGGAGUGUAAGAGUGUCAGUGAUGAAAAAAGUGUCUCCUCGUCUCUAUAUUUCAGAUCAAAUGUAGAAAUGAGACAUAAUGAAACAGAAAUGUUCAGUUUCUGCUCUGAAGUCCAGUUUAUAGUUCUCUGUAUUCAACACAGACUUUAUUUCUCUGCUAACUUGUUGAUUUUGAGCUCUAAGUCUGAAAACAGACAGCUGUUCUUUAUACUUGUUAUUUUCACAGCAGGUUUGUUCGAUCAGCUUUAACACAUUUGACAGGAAUGAUUUCUUUAUUUUGAUGAUGUUGGUUUAUUUGUGAGGAAACCUGCUGCUUUACACCAUCACUUCUGGUCUGAGCAGGACUGAGACCUGCUGGUCUGUAAACUGGAUGUUCUUCAGUCCAGCUGAUGAAGUGAGUCUCAGAGUGGAAACACUGAACGUCUUUUUUUCUCUCCUCAGAUGGAGUUAACAUCUGUCAGAGUGAAUAAGAAGAGGAUCGUGUGUUUCCUGACGAUCAGAGAGGUGGAGGCAGCAGCAGUGAGGGUGAGGUGAGUCUCUGACUGAGAGACUGACUGACCAAUCACAGCGGGCGGAGAGGACUCUGGGAGCUGCACUUUGACCUGCUCUGAGAUCAGCUCAGGACCUGGACUCUGGAUAUUUGAUAUUUUCCCUCAUACUCUGGGAUCAAACAGUCUGAACAGGUUUGUUUUGUUGAUGGAAACAUGAUCAUAAAUUUACACUUUGAUUGGAUUACUUUGUUUUCACCAUGAUGCAGCGCCACCCAGUGGAAAUAUAAAGAGGUGGAGUUGAUUUAUUCCCUCAUAUUUCUGCAGCAGGAGUUGAUACCAUGUGUGAGAGUAGAUCAGUCAGAAGUUCAGAUUAAACCCAAAGGUUUUUUCUUUCCUUUGCACCGUUAGAGACCGAAUAUAAACUGAAGGGAGAGGAAGAGAAGUGAGGAGAGAUGGAGGUGAAGGGAGGAGGAGGAGGACAGGGUUUGGGGUUUUAACAAAAAUCUGAAGCUUUAUUCUUUCACUUGAUUAUUUUUAUUCAUCCGUUUUCUUCUUCAUUUUCUGAACUGAUUGUAAAUAUUGACUGGAGGUAAAUUGACCUUAUUUUAUAUUAUUAGACAUUAUUUUCCGUCUCUUUACAUGUUUUUGUUCUCAUAUCAUCUUUGUGCUCAUCAAUAAUCGAUUCCCUCCAGUUUGAACAAAUACAAUUAUUAAACCAUAAAUGAGACCUGAGAGUAAAAUUAAAAUGUGUGAAAUAUAAUCAGUCAAAGGAAAGAUUCUUAAACAAAAACAAAAUCAUUAUUUUUACUUUAUUAUGAUGGAGAAGUUUUCCUCUGACAGACAAAAAUAACCAUAUUGACCGGAGUCUGGAAAAAGUGAGAUCAGCAUCUAUUCAGGGUGAAGUCAUUAAUGUGGUCGAUGCUGUUUUAUAAACUCAGUGUUGUUGAUUACAAUCUCAGCUUCAUAAACUGAUGCUACAGUGGAGUGACUUCCUGUAAAAUCCACUGGCUUUGUGAGACCGUCAGCUUUCAGGAGAUCAGUUUGUGUUUCUGUGACACUCCAAAGCUUUUCUAUCCCACAGAAAAGAUCGGUGUGUUUUCAGAGACCUUCCUGAUCCCAUCCCUCCAAAAUAAAAAUAAUCUGAUGGUUUAUGGAUUCAUUUCAGUAACAAAGUGUCAUUUCUGUUGUUAGCCAAUCAGAGGCUGUAUCUGCCAUCAGCUGACCUGUAAAGGUCCAAUCAGAAGUCAGGACAGCUCAUGCCACAGUCUGAUCACACUACAGACACAUAAAACAUAGAACUAUUGUAAACAGAUUUGUCCUCUUCAGUUUAUCUACUAUCAAUAGAUCUGUGCUCUGUCUGUGUAACACUCUGUUGGUUCUUCAUUUACACCAGAUCAUUUUUUAUUUCAUUUCACUGUAACAAUGCCAUUUAAAGAUAAUAAAAACUUUAUUUGAACCAAAACAUGUUAAAAACGUCAACUCGGCUCGUUUCAUUCACUGUGUGCAAUUGAUUAUUAUUAUUUUUCAUUCAAACAGAAACUAGAUUUGGUCUUUAAAAAGUCCUCAAAGUGAGUCUGAAAAGUAGAGGAAGGUUUUAUCAUCAGGGUGCAGCACAGUUGUUUCCUGUGUUUUCAUUUGUGAUAUUCUCUCUAAGGUGUGUUAUUGUUCAUUUAAAGUAUGUGGAGGACAAAUCCACACAUCUAACAAAGAAGGUAAAAUAUAAAGAUAGGAGAUUUCUGCAUGACAUCAACGAUAUCCUGGAUUUAGUUUUCUAAGCAACAGGUGGUCGUCUUUUAUCGGGGGUACUUUGAUCCAGAAAUCUGAAAAGGGGUUACUAAAGCAAAAGAAGAAAAACCAGAGACUGUAUAUAGAAUGGACAGAGUCUGCCUCCUCGCUGGGUGAAGCCACUCUGAGAACAGCACCCUCUGUUGAUGGGCUGCAGUAUAGGUCAUAAAUCCCGCCUGCGCCAGCAAAGCUUAUGGAGCUGUGGACGAACUUUAGAAAUUUAUUACACAGAACAUAAUUUUUUCUCCCUCCUGGUUGUGAUGUUGACAUGUAGUUAUUGUCAGACUGGUUUGUGCUCAAGUCCUCUUUUUUCUGUGAAGCUCCAUUUUUAAAAGUUAUUAGGGGGUUCAUGUUUGCUAUGACGUUUCACAGCCAUAAGGAAUAACCAAUCGGAGCCUAGCACUUCUAGCCAAUCAGAUGCGAAGGAGGGUGGGACCUUCCCCUACCAUCCCACGAAAAAAAAAACCAAACACGUCCGGGUUUGCCGACCUUUAUUUCUGAGCCCCAGAUAACAGGACAGAGAUACCUAAAGCAUACAACGUGAACUUGUGUUAUCACAUCAACAUAUUUGGCUCCUACACUGAAUAUAAUGUUGGACAGUGAUCUUUGUAAAGUGAGGUGAAGGAGGAGUUUGUGUAGUGACAACACAAUCACACUGUGUGCAAAAAUAAAAACCUGUUCAACCAAAUCUUCACAUUUAGUUGGGGUAUGAGAAGAGGAGUGCUCAUCUGAAGUUUGUUGGUUUGACCAGCAGGUGGAGCUGCUGCAUUAACAAUAAACUGAGACUCAACCAAACAAACAAGUUCCUGUUUUAGUGAACUUUGAAUUUGGACUCAGGAGAGGAAGAUGGUUGUCAAGAAUACUGAACUUAAAGGAUGAUCAAUAACGGUCAGUAAAUGAGGAGAAGAAUCUGUGAUCUGGUGGUUUAGGUUUCAGUGAAAACAGUCAGAGUGAAAGUGAAAGUAUGUGAGCUGAAAAACAGACUCCAUUUUGAGAAAAGAAGAGAGAGGAGAGGACGAGGAGACAGGGUGAGUGUUUACUCUGUUUUAGUUUUAAUGUCAAACUCUUUAUCUGUUUUAUCUGUUAAUGAAAAAAUGAUUUACUGACUAAAACACUUAAAAACUGUAAAACAAAGAAACCUGAGCAGACAAAGAGCUGGAUCAGUUCUUCAUACAGGAAACUGUGUACGUGCAGUUCUUCCUCCUCUUUGUUUAGACUUGUCUUUUUGGUAAAAAUAUUAAUCAGAAUCUUUUUAGCGUCUCAUUUCAACUUUAAUCCAGUCUCCUUAAGUUUUUAUGAGAGUUCAGGGACCUCACAGCUGAUUUUGUUUUGACCAUGAAUCAGACAAGGAUCAGAGAGAGGCCCUGCAGGGUGGGGAGACAUCAGAAGUUCUUGGAUAUUAAACCUGUAUAACUCUUAAAGAGGGGGAUGAAGCUGUUUUUAGACUCUGUACUUCCUUUCUGAUUCCUCUUUUAUUUCUGAACUCUCUCUUCCUGUUUGUAUCUCACCUGUUUGUCUUCUUUGUCCUCAGGUUGUAUAACUCGGUUUCAGCCUCCAUAAAUUUGCACAACAGAAGAUGGAGAAGAUGAGUGUUGGUGUCGAGGAAGAGGAGGGCAGAGCAGAGUCUGAUAUGUUUGACUGUCUGUCUAUGAAGAGUGACCAGUCUAAAGGUUUUGAUAUAAACUUCAGUAAAGAACCAGGACCCCCAGAGGAGGACAGAACAAAGUCUGUUAUCUCCAGCUGUCUGUCUAUGAAGAGUGACCGGUCUAAAGAUCCUCCACCAAAAUUCAGUGAAGAACCAGGACCCUCAGAUUCACAGUAAGAGAAACACUUUUCAAUCACCAAACUCUCAAACAACAACAAUUGACGUUUCAAAUACAAAACUUUAAAUCCUGACCCCUCUGUUUUCUCCUCUGUUCUCAAAACACUGAUUUUCCUCUUAAACCUGCCAACCUGGAUAAAAUUCAAUUCAAUUCAACUUUAUUUAUAAAGCCCAUUUCAUGUACAAGGCAGACUCAAUGUUCUUCACAACAGGUGUACAUAGUUAAAAACAGUUAUACAAAAAUCAAUUAGAAAUCAAUGUAAGAGUGUAAGUGCAAGUCAACUUCACUGCAUGCACACUUAAACUCGUACAUGCGCACGCACUCACACAUGGACACGUGCACACGUACACACAUACACACACAGUUUAAAAGAAUGCUAUAGAAAUCUGUUUUUAAAGAUGGCUACUGAUGUGUCUAACUGUGUCAGGCAUGGUGUUCCAUUUUUGUGGGGCAUAAACACUCAAAGCUGCCUCCCCUCAUUUGGAUCUGGUGUGAGGGAUGAGUAAGUUGCCACUGCCUGUUGACCGAAGUGUUCUUGCUGAGGUGUAGGUGAUGAGCAUAUCUGUGAUGUACUGAGGUGCAAGGCCAUGUAGUGCUUUGUAAACCAGGAGGAGUAUUUUGAAAUCGAUUCUUGUCCUAACGGGUAACCAAUGUACAGAUUUGAGAACGGGUGUGAUGUGUUGAUAUUUUUUGGUACCAGUGAGAAUACAUGCAGCUGCAUUUUGAAUUAACUGUAACCUCUGAAGACUUGAUUUUGGGAGUCCAGUGAAUAAACCGUUAUCCAGUAGUAAUCCAGUCUACUUCUUAUAAAUGCAUGGAUGAAUUUUUCUAAGUCUGAUUUUGACAGAAAGCCCCUCAAUUUGGAGAUAUUUUUGAGAUGAUAGAAAGAUGAUCUUGAAUUGAAUCUUGUAAUGGAUAAAAGGCUGGUAAAGAAAAACUCACUGAGCACAGAUUUACUUAUUAUUGUUGAUGUUUAUAAAAAUGAAAGUCGUUUAAAACAGCAUUUGAAAAGGAUUCUGACUUCUUGUAUUUUCUGAUUUGGUUCCUGUGUUUGGGACGUUUUGAGCCUGUUAGUCUUUGGACUGUGGUCUGUAGACCCCAGAAAACAGUCUGUGGGUCACAAAAUACCAGAAGACCAAUGAAGAAAUAAAUCCUGAGAAAUAAAAACUCAUUCAGAGCAUCUGUCUGUUAUUAGACCUUUAGAUCUGAUCGGUGGAAAAAAAAGUUUUAAACUGUCAGAGAAAAUCUCUCUACCUUCAAAAUCACUUUAGUUUUUUCUCUUGUCACGACACUUCAGGCAGCAGCAGCUGAAUAUUUUACAGGAGAUUGUUUUAUGUUAGAGAAAAGAGAAACUCUGGUUUAAUAAAUGUUUCUUAUUCUGUAUCUUUCAAACAUGAAAUAAUAAAGAAAAUAAAUGUUCUUUAUUUCCACAGAGAGACACAGAGAUGUGACUCUGUGGAGGAGCAGCUGUCCAGAUGUUCUUUAUGUCAGGACGUCCUGAAGGAUCCAGUCUCUACCCGCUGUGGACACCAGUCUACUUCUUCAGGAUACACCUCCUGUCCCCAGUGUGGAAAAAGAACCAGAACAGUUCUUGUCUUUCAGACAGACAGCCAGUCCAGCUCUGAUCGAAGUAAGUCUGAACACCUUUAAACCCUAAAUUAUACAAUUUCUGCCAGAAUUAUUUUGCUUAUUUUAGCCAUAAAAUUGGCAGAAAAUGUCCUAUGAGUGAGUGCUUUUUUAUUCAUUGGCUUUCAACCCUGCAUGAGACUCGGCUCCUGUUUUAGUGUUUUAUGUUUUUUUUUUUUUUUUUUUUUUAUGUCUAUGCUUUUUUGUCUAUUUAUAUACAGCACUUUGGUUGGCUGUGGUUGUUUUAAAGUGCUUUACAAAUAAAGUUGAGUUUUACCCAUUUUUCCAGAACACUUCAAACUUUCAAUAUCUGGCUGUCAUUUACGAUUUACUGCCUGUUAAAAGAGUGCUAUAACAUUUUAAGAUAAAGAAAAACACAAAAACGGAAUACGAUUUUUUGAGUUUUAAUGAGAAAAAACAGAAAAUAUUCAUGAAAAACAGAUUUUUCAUUUGAAAUAAAAAAAAAUUAAAGAGUAUCAAACAUAUUUACAACAAAAACUUUGGAGUGCUGUCUCUCCAAGUGCAAAAACAGGCUAAAUAAAUACAACUAUGUCCACGCGUUUCUCCUCGUUUCUCCUCUCUCACUCAGAGGUCUUUGUGAAACUGUCAGAAGCUGUUCCUUUCUGUCUGCGGACACAGACCCACAUCACACCACUCACACUUCCAGGCAGUUCUCCUUAUGACAAAGUUUGCAGCGUCGUCUCCUCAUGCUAGUUCUUUGAGACUUCAUCUGUCCAUGGCUUGUUUGGGCACGUAGCUAUACUCUACUAUAAGCGAAGUGGAUGUAAUUCUCGGCGGGCAUGUGUUUCUCGGUACAACAUCAACGGUUGCAAAAUGAGAAAACGACGAGAAAACCGCCGAAGAUGAAGACUUGGUGGUAAGAAGAAAAGCAACGUCACUAACCUUUGAAGAUGAAGACUCGUUGAUUAAAAGAACGUCACUAACCAUAGAAGAUGAAGACUCGUUGAUUAAAAGAAAAGCAACGUCACUAACCAUUGUAGAUGAAUAUUCGUUGAUUAAAAGAAAAGCCACGUCACUUAUCUGUAAUUAUUUCGGUUACAAAAAGGAUGACGUCACCUAACACCUGUUCUGUGACGGCAGUGUCUUUCAUCUGUUUCCACAAUAACGUCCCAGCAGAACAAUAAAAACUAAAAAUAUCUCUAAGACAGACAGAAGCCAUUCUACUAACAUUCACUAAAAGAGGGAAGAUCAGUGCAGGUUAACUGUCCUCAAGAUUUCAGCAGAAAGUCAGAUUCAGAUCAUCUGCUAAAAAUUCCUCUAUUUUUUAAUAACGCUUAUAUAUCACAGGGUUGAACAACUUUGCAAUGUUAGUGUUUUCUAAUAUCAUGCUGUCUUAAUAGGCACACGUUACUACAAACUCACUGCCUUAGCAUGGUAUUCUAAUAAAGUCACAACAGGUUAUAAGUGUUGAUUUACUCAUAAAAUAACGUAAAUAAAUUAAAAACGACACAGAGAGCGCUUCAUUCAUCCAGAAACCAACACAGAAAACCAACCAGUCAAACUUUACCUUUCUCUGUCUGAAGUUGCUCUGAAAGCUUCUCCAUCUGUCCCAAAGUCGUCUGUAAACCUCAGUGGAGGUUUUCUCACUUGGGAGAGUUUAUCACAGACAUUUUCCUUUGAAAUAAUCCCUUUUUUGUCACUUUUCUCUCUUUUUGCUCCGUUUCUCUGCUCUGUUGUGUGUCUAUCCGCUGCUCCCUUUGAGAGGGGGAGAGGGGACGAGGAGACAGAUUUUCUCACUUCCCCAAACAGCAGGAGUGAAAUUACCGUAAUAACCGUUUAUUGACCGUGUGGCGCAACUUCUCAGCUUUCAGAAACCGUUGGAGAUUUUUUUUUGAUAGAACAAACUACCGCAAAGUUACGGUAAUUUAAAGAGCGCCUGUAUAAAGGUGUCGGCGCCGACGGACUGUGAGGAAAAGUCUGUGUGGAUGAAAACUCAGCUGACUGAUUUUCACAAAGACGUUUCAGUGUUGAGAAGUUUGGUUCAUUUUAUUUUUCUUCUCUUUCAGAUGAUGGCCUCCCGCAGGAGGUUUUAGAUGAACAUAAGAUCAGUCUGAAGAGGAGAUGUGAACGUGUGAAUGAAGGAAGUGAUGAAACAGGAAGUAGUCAAACCCUCCUCAACAGGAUCUUCACUGAGCUCUACAUCACAGAGGGACUGAGUGAAGAGGUGAACACCCAACAUGAGGUGAGACAGCUGGAGACUACUUCAAAGAUGAAGACCCUCCAUGACAUGCCCAUCAGGUGUCAUGAGAUCUUUAAAACCUUACCUGACCAACAGAAGAAGCUCAUCAGAGUGGUUCUGACCAACGGCGUGGCUGGUGUUGGAAAAACCUUCUCAGUGCAGAAGUUCACUCUGGACUGGGCAGAGGGUUUGGAGAACCAAGACCUCCAUCUGGUGGUCCUGCUUUCAUUCAGGGAGCUGAACCUGAUCAGAGAUGAGCGCUUCAGUCUUCUGAGUCUGCUCCAUGUUUUCCAUCCAACCCUAGAGAAGGUCACAGCAGAGACGCUGGCUGUCUGUAAACUUCUGUUCAUCUUUGACGGUCUGGAUGAAAGCAGACUGUCUCUGGAUUUCACAGACUCUGAGGUGGUGUCUGACGUCACACAGAAGUCUUCACUCAACGUUCUGAUAACAAACCUCGUCAAGGGGAACCUGCUCCCCUCAGCUCUCAUCUGGAUAACUUCUCGACCUGCAGCAGCCAAUCAGAUCCCUCCUUCACAUGUGGACAGGAUAACAGAAGUACGAGGCUUCACUGACGCCCAGAAGGAGGAGUACUUCAGGAAGAGGUUCAGAGAUGAAGAUCUGUCCAGAAGAAUCAUCCAACACAUCAAGUCCUCCAGGAGCCUCCACAUCAUGUGUCAGAUCCCGGUCUUCUGCUGGAUCACUGCGACAGUUCUGGAGGACAUGAUGAGAAGAAAGCAGAGAGGAGAGCUGCCCAAGACCCUGACUGACAUGUACUCACACUUCCUGCUGGUCCAGACUCAGAGGAAGAAGCAGAAGUAUGAAGGAGGACAUGAGACAAGUCCUCAGGAGCUGAUGGAUGCUGACAGUGACGUCCUCCUGAAGCUGGGGAGGCUGGCAUUGGAACAUCUGAACAGUGGAAACAUCAUGUUCUACCAAGAAGACCUGGAGCGGUGUGGUCUGGAUGUCUCAGAGGCCUCAGUGUACUCAGGAGUUUGUACAGAGAUCUUCAGAAGAGAGAGUGUGAUCUUCCAGAAAACUGUUUACUGUUUCGUUCAUCUGAGCGUUCAGGAGUUUCUGUCUGCAGUCUACAUGAUCCACAGUUUCACAACCAGGAACACAGAAGCUCUGAAGACUUUCCUAAGAAGCAACGAUGAUGAAGAUAAAAUGUCUUCUUCAGAGAUGGUUGACAGAUUUUUUCAAAACCUGGAUUAUUUUUUCUCAUCUCAGGAUGUCUUCCUGAAGAGUGUCAUGAUGAAAUCCCUUGUCAGUAAAAACGGUCACCUGGACCUGUUUGUUCGCUUCCUUCAUGGACUCUCUGUGGCGUCAAACCAGAGACUCUUAGGAGGUCUGCUGGGUCACACAGACAACAGUCCAGAAAUGAUCCAAACAGUCAUCAAGAACCUGAAGGAGAUGAACAGAGAAGAUAUCUCUCCUGACAGAAGCAUCAACAUCUUCCACUGUCUGAUGGAGAUGAACGAUCUGUCAGUUCAUCAGGAGAUUCAAGAGCUCCUGAAGUCAGGGAACAAAUCAGAGAAGAAACUCUCAGUGUUCCAGUGCUCUGCUCUGGCCUACAUGCUGCAGAUGUCAGAGGAGGUUCUGGAGGAGUUGGACUUAAAGAAUUAUAAAACAUCAGACCAGGGACGACGGAGACUGAUCCCAGCUGUGAGGAACUGCAGAAAGGCUGUGUGAGUCCAGGUUUUAUUCUCAGAAUAGUGUAAAUGAUCCCUGUAGUUCUUCUAAUGUCCACGUUACUGAUGAUGUUCUUCUUCAAAUAGAAAUCCACUCAAAUAUCAGGGAGGGGGUUUCUUCAGCAAAAACAUGAUCCUGGUGUCUAAAGUCCUGUUAGUCCAGGAUGAGGUCUACCCGUGGACCCCUGAGAACUUGUCCUAAUUGUGGAGGACCUCUUUGUUUUGAAUCGUGUCUGUAAUGAAUAAAGUGGAACUUUGAGGACAAAUCAGCGACCAUAUCUGAGGACACACAGAGGUCUUCUGAUGAUGGUAUCAGUCCAGAUCAACAUCUCAGUCAGUUGUGGUGAACUUGAGUUUGAAGAAGGUGUCUGCAGCUUCUUCCUGCUGGUUUUCAGGUUGGAAAUGAUGAAUCAGUUGUAAAUGAGGGUGUUGACAGCAUUGAUGGUGAAAAUAGAACUGGAUCAUUUUCUACACAGUGGCAGAACUGUCUUCAAAGAAAUGUUUUUAUCUGAACCAAACAGAGAAACAGGAGCUGCUGUGAUUUAGUGAGUCGUCUUCUGAUUGGUCAACAGUCAGUGCCUUACAUUAUAGCAGGAUGUCAACACUAAACACUGAGAGGAGCAUAAGUCAUGGAGUCAUUUGUCUUGAACAUCUAAACAGUUUUUUUUUUCUUCUAAACUUGGACUUCCUGUCUUCUCUCAUGGCUGUGGUCCUGAUAUUAGUAUCUGUCUGGUUAGAAACAGGCCGUCUGUCAAACCAAAGAUCAUGUUUGAGUUGUUUUUGGGGAAGAGAAACAUCAAAUAACCCUUUAAUAAAAUAUUGUUUGAUAUUUAUGUUGUUACAGAUUUUCUCUCUGUGGACUCUCAAAGACUCACUGUGAAGUUGUGGCCUCAGCUCUGAAGUCCAACCCCUCCCAUCUGAGACAUCUGGACCUGAGUAACAACGAGCUGAAGGAUUCAGGAGUGAAGCUUCUCUCUGCAGGACUGGAGAGUCCAAACUGCAGACUGGAGACUCUGAUGUGAGACACCAUUUCCUUCUGAUCUAACAAUAAGAUGUGACAGCUGCUGCCUUAGAUUUUUCUCUGUGGUUUUUCCAUCAACUUUGGUCGAGCAGUUUGAAUUUGUCGUUGUAAAACUUCGACACAGGAAGAAAAAUCUGACAUUUCAGAGUUGACUUUGAGGAGAACGAUGGAUGUAGAAAGGAAGCAGGAGAAAAUCAGUCCCACAAAUAUUACACAUGCUUGUAGAGGGCAGGAGCAGCACAGACUAAAGGCUGAUACUGAACUGAUCCACAGUUAAUGUGAUCACCAAUGAAUGAAUGAAGUGUCAGAGAAAUGAUGAGCUGCAGAUUGAAACCUGAAGAACAAAGUUAAUCCAACUCUGGAUAUUUCAUUUGGAAACUCUUGAAAACUUGAAUUUCUUCUUUGCUCAGUCGUGUUCAAAUGUAAAAACCAGAUCCAGAUUUGUCUGCAGUUUUCACUUCAGUUUGUUGAACAUGAACAUCAUCUUGUCCAGCUGGUCCAUAAAAACCUCUCUGAUCAAUGAUCUGUUGGUUUAUUUAAGAGUAGUUUGGCAGUUGUUGACAGCAGACGGACAGACCCCUGAAUAAACUCCUGACUGUUUUCAUCUUCAUGAAGAAUUCAGGACUACAAAAGAACCUUUGAGAUUUCUCACAGGAGUUUCUCAGGAUCUCACUAAAGUUUUCUGUUUCUGUAAAAUUUUCUUGACUGAUAAAUUCCUCUGGAUCUUCAAAAAGUUUAGAGAAGAUUUUACAAAGUUCCUGAAGAUCAACUCUGAAAAAGUUCUUCUUCCGUGUCCUUCAGGGUUCAAGAACAUUGAAUCAUUAAAAACAGGAACAGUUUCUUCAGAGGUUACAUGAUUUUUUUCUUUUUUCAGACUGUGACAGGUGUUUAUUAGUCUUUUUGACACGUUACAAUAAUGAGGAUAAAGUCAUGGACUAAACUUGGGCUCCCAGUUUCCUUGUUGUUGUUUCUUCAGCUAGCAUCAUUGUUUUCAUCACAGUUCUUAAAGUAAUAAUGAUGCUUCAUAAAUUCAGAGUCACAAAAAAACACCAAACAAACCAAAUCUGAAAAAAAUCCACUUUUUCAUCAAAUGAGUUUAAUCGGUCAGAACAUGAGGUUUGAGUUUUCAUGAGGAGGAAACGAGAAAGAUCUGCUCUGACAGUGAGAAACACAGACGCCUGAAUCUACACUGACAGACACACAAAUACAGACAGAGAGACACAGACAGAGAGACACAGACACAGACACACAAAUACAGACACACAGAGACACAGACACACAAACAGACUAACAGAGAUUUUCUUCUUCGUCUCUUUGCUGUGAUGACUGAAGUCACAAAAACAAAGUUUUCUUCGUCACUUUUAUGAUUGAACCAAAUAAGUUAAAGAACCAAACUCUCAGAUUUUCUUCUUCUCAAUAUUAUUUGAACCAUUUAGAUUUUUCUCCUGAUCAAUAUUCAAUGAUCAGAUUGAUCAGGUUCCUGUUUUGGCUCCACUGCCUCUUUUCUGCAGCUCAAUAACUGCUCAUAUGGUUUGAAAGGUUCCUGCAGUAAAACCCGAUUAGAGAGUGGACUAAAUGAAAUGUGAGUGAACUCAGCCAUCAGUGAAUCAAUGACAAAGUGAGAGGAAGAGUGGAUCUGUCUGCUGUCUGACCUUGUUGAUCCUGAUGAAGGUGAGGGAGAAGAGUAAAGCAGUAAAGGUGAUGUUGUUGCAGACAGAGUCAGCUGACCUGUCUCAUCAGAGUCUCAUCCAUUCUCUGUUUGGCAGAGCGCUGAUGUUACAGUCUGAGAGCACAUUCAGGUUCAGCUUCACAUGGGCUGGAUCUGCUCAAUACAAACUCUUGAGACCAGCCUGGUUGAGGGAGGUGGGCUCAGUGUCCUGGGUGACUCUCUCUGAGCUCUUCUUGGUUGAGAGUAUUUCUGGUUUGUCUCUGACUUCCAUGAACUCAGAUCUGGAGGAUUGCUGGCUGGUCCGGUCCAGUUCUGACAGUAGAGACAACACAGUCUGUUAUUCUGGGUUGAGUGUUCUUGUUGAAGAUCAGUGUACAGUGAGGGAUGAAGGCAGACAAAGAUCCUCCUGUUUCCUCCAUGUCACAGUUCAAGUUCAUUUUGAAGACUUUGAUUGAUACGAGCGCUGAAGAGGAACAGGAAACGUGGAGUAGAGAGUGAGGGAGGACUUACAGCAAAGGAUCAUGGGAGUCCAACCAGCAACUGCUGCAACAAGGACUCCACCUUCUGAUCAUCUGAACCUCUAAUCCAAACCAGUGCUCCAUCACAUUUGAUGUCUUGUCUGUUAUUUUACAUGGAGGGUCAGAGCAGACCAGAUCAUGAGCUCUGACAGACUGGAUCUGGUCCAAAGGUCUCCUGUUGGAGUUCUCUAAGCUCCAUAUUUUAAUCCUGAACACCUGAAGUUUGAUUAUUAAUUAUUUUUAUCUUCAUUCUCUUUCCUUUUUUCAGAUUGUAUAAAUGCAGUUUGUCAGAGAUCAGCUGUUCUUCUCUGGCCUCAGCUCUGAAGUCCAACCCCUCCCAUCUGAGAUAUCUGGACCUGAGUUACAACAAUCUGCAGGAUUCAGGAAUGAAGCUGCUGUGUGACUCUCUGCAGAGUCCAAACUGUAAACUGGAGACUCUGAGGUGAGACACCAUUUCCUUCUGAUCUAACAAUAAGAUGUGACAGCUGCUGCCUUAGAUUUUUCUCUGUGGUUUUUCCAUCAACUUUGGUCGAGCAGUUUGAAUUUGUCGUUGUAAAACUUCAACACAGGAAGAAAAAUCCGACAUUUCAGAGUCGACUUUGAGGAGAACGAUGGAUGUAGAAAGGAAGCAGGAGAAAAUCAGUCCACAAAUAUUACACAUGCUUGUAGAGGGCAGGAGCAGCACAGACUAAAGGCUGAUACUGAACUGAUCCACAGUUAAUGUGAUCACUAAUGAAUGAAUGAAGUGUCAGAGAAAUGAUGAGCUGCAGAUUGAAACCUGAAGAACAAAGUUAAUCCAACUCUGGAUAUUUCAUUUGGAAACUCUUGAAAACUUGAAUUUCUUCUUUGCUCAGUCGUGUUCAAAUGUAAAAACCAGAUCCAGAUUUUUCUGCAGUUUUCACUUCAGUUUGUUGAACAUGAACAUCAUCUUGUCCAGUUGGUCCAUAAAAACCUCUCUGAUCAAUGAUCUGUUGGUUUAUUUAAGAGUAGUUUGGCAGUUGUUGACAGCAGACGGACAGACCCCCUGAAUAAACUCCUGACUAUUUUCAUCUUCAUGAAGAAUUCAGGACUACAAAAAAACCUUUGAGAUUUCUCACAGGAGUUUCUCAGGAUCUCACUAAAGUUUUCUGUUUCUGUAAAAUUUUCUUGACUGAUAAAUUCCUCUGGAUCUUCAAAAAGUUUAGAGAGGAUUUUACAAAGUUCCUGAAGAUCAACUCUGAAAAAGUUCUUCUUCCGUGUUCCUUCAGGGUUCAAGAACAUUGAAUCAUUAAAAACAGGAACAGUUUCUUCAGAGGUUACAUGAUUUUUUUCUUUUUUCAGACUGUGACAGGUGUUUAUUAGUCUUUUUGACACGUUACAAUAAUGAGGAUAAAGUCAUGGACUAAACUUGGGCUCCCAGUUUCCUUGUUGUUGUUUCUUCAGCUAGCAUCAUUGUUUUCAUCUCAGUUAUUAAAGUAAUAAUGAUGCUUCAUAAAUUCAGAGUCACAAAAAAACACCAAACAAACCAAAUCUGAAAAAAAUCCACUUUUUCAUCAAAUGAGUUUAAUCGGUCAGAACAUGAGGUUUGAGUUUUCAUGAGGAGGAAACGAGAAAGAUCUGCUCUGACAGUGAGAAACACAGACGCCUGAAUCUACACUGACAGACACACAAAUACAGACAGAGAGACACAGACAGAGAGACACAGACACAGACACAGACACACAAAUACAGACACACAGAGAGACAGACACACAAACACAGACUAACAGAGAUGUUCCUCUCUGUCUCUUUGCUGUGAUGACUGAAGUCACAAAAACAAAGUUUUCUUCGUCACGUUUAUGAUUGAACCAAAUAAGUUAAAGAACCAAACUCUCAGAUUUUCUUCUUCUCAAUAUUAUUUGAACCAUUUUGAUUUUUCUCCUGAUCAAUAUUCAAUGAUCAGAUUGAUUAGGUUCCUGUUUUGGCUCCACUGCCUCUUUUCUGCAGCUCAAUAACUGCUCAUAUGGUUUGAAAGGUUCCUGCAGUAAAACCCGAUUAGAGAGUGGACUAAAUGAAAUGUGAGUGAACUCAGCCAUCAGUGAAUCAAUGACAAAGUGAGAGGAAGAGUGGAUCUGUCUGCUGUCUGACCUUGUUGAGCCUGAUGAAGGUGAGGGAGAAGAGUAAAGCAGUAAAGGUGAUGUUGUUGCAGACAGAGUCAGCUGACCUGUCUCAUCAGAGUCUCAUCCAUUCUCUGUUUGGCAGAGCACUGAUGUUACAGUCUGAGAGCACAUUCAGGUUCAGCUUCACAUGGGCUGGAUCUGCUCAAUACAAACUCUUGAGACCAGCCUGGUUGAGGGAGGUGGGCUCAGUGUCCUGGGUGACUCUCUCUGAGCUCUUCUUGGUUGAGAGUAUUUCUGGUUUGUCUCUGACUUCCAUGAACUCAGAUCUGGAGGAUUGCUGGCUGGUCCGGUCCAGUUCUGACAGUAGAGACAACACAGUCAGUUAUUCUGGGUUGAGUGUUCUUGUUGAAGAUCAGUGUACAGUGAGGGAUGAAGGCAGACAAAGAUCCUCCUGUUUCCUCCAUGUCACAGUUCAAGUUCAUUUUGAAGACUUUGAUUGAUCCGAGCGCUGAAGAGGAACAGGAAACGUGGAGUAGAGAGUGAGGGAGGACUUACAGCAAAGGAUCAUGGGAGUCCAACCAGCAACUGCUGCAACAACGACUCCACCUUCUGAUCAUCUGAACCUCUAAUCCAAACCAGUGCUCCAUCACAUUUGAUGUCUUGUCUGUUAUUUUACAUGGAGGGUCAGAGCAGACCAGAUCAUGAGCUCUGACAGACUGGAUCUGGUCCAAAGGUCUCCUGUUGGAGUUCUCUAAGCUCCAUAUUUUAAACCUGAACACCUGAAGUUUGAUUAUUAAUUAUUUUUAUCUUCAUUCUCUUUCCUUUUUUCAGAUUGUAUAAAUGCAGUUUGUCAGAGAUCAGCUGUUCUUCUCUGGCCUCAGCUCUGAAGUCCAACCCCUCCCAUCUGAAACAUCUGGACCUGAGUUACAACAAGCUGCAGGAUUCAGGAGUGAAGCUUCUGUGUGAAUUUGUGCAGAGUCCAAACUGUAAACUGGAGACUCUGAAGUGAGACUUUUUCCCUCCAUUCAAACAUGAUCAUGAUUUGUUUGUGAUGAUGACACUAAACUGCUGACUCAGGACUGAAAUACUGACCCAGACUGAACACCUUCAGUCCAGAGUAGAUUUUCUUCAUCAGUGGAUUAUUUGAUUGACUCCAGUUAGAUCACUGCUGAGCUCCAGUGAAUUAAAACCUGAACCCAAGAAGAAAACUCUUUGUAGAGUUCACAGUGAGAAGCUCAUUCAGACAGAAAACAGAAGCAGGGGGAGAUUUGUCAGAUGAGAACCAUUCAAACUUUUGUUCAGGACAAGAUCAGGGAAUAGAAAAAACUCAGAGUUUAGUUUCUGACACUGAUGAAAGUCCAGCUCUGUUACUUUGAAUUUUGUUUUUGAAUCUUUGUGUGAAAAUCUGAAUUUUCUGGUUUAUCUGCACUUUUCUGAAGCCUUACUGUGUUUAGACUGAAAUAUUUACCUCUCAAAGACGUGAAAUUUUUGGUUCAGCAAAGUGAAAAUAUUCUGAACAUCCUUUGUUUCCCAUCCGUCCUGAAGUCACUGACAUUUUCUGAAAAUAUUGAGCUGCAUCUACAAUCAGUAAAAAAGUCUCUGAGUUUUUUAUUUCACUAUUUAAUGUGUUUUUGAAUUCACUGUUUCAAACUGACUUCCUGUUUGGUUCAGCUCUUUGGAGCGUCACUUUUCUCUGAUUUAUACUUUCCAAACCUUUCCCCUGAACUCUACAGAUUUAAGACAUCAGGUUUCAAACUGGAUCAUUUUUCUCUAAAAUCUCAUUAUUUCCUCUUUAUUUAGGUUAAUGAGCUGCAGUUUGACGAAGAUCAGCUGUUCUUCUCUGGCCUCAGCUCUGAAGUCCAACCCCUCCCAUCUGAAAACUCUGUGGCUGUAUGGAAACAAUCUGCAGGGUUCAGACAUGAAGCUGCUGUGUGAUCUUCAGAAGAGUCCUGACUACAGACUGAGGACUCUGAAGUCAGUAUAGAGUUGGAGUUAGUCUGUGCUGAUCUCUCCUGUUCCUCUCCACACAGUAUCACAGCAGAUAUUCAGUAUUUCCUGCUGACUCUUCGACCCUCUCAGAGGAUUAUCUCUUUAGUGAAGCUGUGAGAACAGAAAUCAUCAAACCAGGAGUGUAAGAGUGUCAGUGAUGAAAAAAGUGUCUCCUCGUCUCUAUAUUUCAGAUCAAAUGUAGAAAUGAGACAUAAUGAAACAGAAAUGUUCAGUUUCUGCUCUGAAGUCCAGUUUAUAGUUCUCUGUAUUCAACACAGACUUUAUUUCUCUGCUAACUUGUUGAUUUUGAGCUCUAAGUCUGAAAACAGACAGCUGUUCUUUAUACUUGUUAUUUUCACAGCAGGUUUGUUCGAUCAGCUUUAACACAUUUGACAGGAAUGAUUUCUUUAUUUUGAUGAUGUUGGUUUAUUUGUGAGGAAACCUGCUGCUUUACACCAUCACUUCUGGUCUGAGCAGGACUGAGACCUGCUGGUCUGUAAACUGGAUGUUCUUCAGUCCAGCUGAUGAAGUGAGUCUCAGAGUGGAAACACUGAUCGUCUUUUUUUCUCUCCUCAGAUGGAGUUAACAUCUGUCAGAGUGAUUAAGAAGAGGAUCAUGUGUUUCCUGACGAUCAGAGAGGUGGAGGCAGCAGCAGUGAGGGUGAGGUGAGUCUCUGACUGAGAGACUGACUGACCAAUCACAGCGGGCGGAGAGGACUCUGGGAGCUGCACUUUGACCUGCUCUGAGAUCAGCUCAGGACCUGGACUCUGGAUAUUUGAUAUUUUCCCUCAUAUUCUGGGAUCAAACAGUCUGAACAGGUUUGUUUUGUUGAUGGAAACAUGAUCAUAAAUUUACACUUUGAUUGGAUUACUUUGUUUUCACCAUGAUGCAGCGCCACCCAGUGGAAAUAUAAAGAGGUGGAGUUGAUUUAUUCCCUCAUAUUUCUGCAGCAGGAGUUGAUACCAUGUGUGAGAGUAGAUCAGUCAGAAGUUCAGAUUAAACCCAAAGGUUUUUUCUUUCCUUUGCACCGUUACAGACCGAAUAUAAACUGAAGGGAGAGGAAGAGAAGUGAGGAGAGAUGGAGGUGAAGGGAGGAGGAGGACAGGGUUUGGGGUUUUAACAAAAAUCUGAAGCUUUAUUCUUUCACUUGAUUAUUUUUAUUCAUCCGUUUUCUUCUUCAUUUUCUGAAAUGAUUGUAAAUAUUGACUGGAGGUAAAUUUGUCUUAUUUAAUAUUAUUAGACACUAUUUUCCGUCUCUUUACAUGUUUUUGUUCUCAUAUCAUCUUUGUGCUCAUCAAUAAUCGAUUCCCUCCAGUUUGAACAAAUACAAUUAUUAAACCAUAAAUGAGACCUGAGAGUAAAAUUAAAAUGUGUGAAAUAUAAUCAGUCAAAAGAAAGAUUCUUGAACAAAAACAAAAUCAUUAUUUUUACUUUAUUAUGAUGGAGAAGUUUUCCUCUGACAGACAAAAAUAACCGUAUUGACUGGAGUCUGGAAAAAGUGAGAUCAGCAUCUAUUCAGGGUGAAGUCAUUAACGUGGUCGAUGCUGUUUUAUAAACUCAGUGUUGUUGAUUACAAUCUCAGCUUCAUAAACUGAUGCUACAGCUCAUGUCACAGUCUGCUCACACCACAGAAACAUUAAACAUAGAACUAUUGUGAACAGAUUUGUCCUCUUCAGCUAAUCUACUAUCAAUAGAUCUGUGCUCUGUCUGUGUAACACUAUGUUGGUUCUUCAUUUACUCCAGAUCAUUUUUUUAUGUCAUUUCACUGUAACAAUGUCAUUUAAAGAUAAUAAAAACUUUAUUUGAACUAAAACAUGUUAAAAACAUCAACUCAGCUUGUUUCAUUUACUGUGUGCAAUUGAUUAUUAUUAUUUUUCAUUCAAACAGAAACUAGAUUUGGUCUUUAAAAAGUCCUCAAAGUGAG